UACGUAGGGUGCGAGCGUUGUCCGGAAUUACUGGGCGUAAAGAGCUUGUAGGCGGUUUGUCGCGUCGUCCGUGAAAACUUGGGGCUCAACCCCAAGCUUGCGGGCGAUACGGGCAGACUCGAGUACUUCAGGGGAGACUGGAAUUCCUGGUGUAGCGGUGAAAUGCGCAGAUAUCAGGAGGAACACCCGUGGCGAAGGCGGCUCUCUGGGACGGUACUGACGCUGAGACGCGAAAGCGUGGGGAGCAAACAGG
rnacentral:rRNA from 1 species